CCUACGGGAGGCAGCAGUGGGGGAUAUUGCACAAUGGGCGAAAGCCUGAUGCAGCAACGCCGCGUGAGCGAUGAAGGCCUUCGGGUCGUAAAGCUCUGUCCUCAAGGAAGAUAAUGACCGUACUUGAGCAGGAAGCCCCGGCCAACUACGUGCCAGCAGCCGCGGUAAUACGUGGGGGGCUAGCGUUAUCCGGAAUUACUGGGCGUAAAGGGUGCGGAGGUGGUUUCUUAAGUCAGAGGUGAAAGGCUACGGCCCAACCCGAGUAGGCCGUUGAAACUGGGGAACUGGAGUGCAGGAGAGGAGAGUGGAAUUCCUGGUGUAGCGGUGAAAUGCGUAGAGAUUAGGAGGAACACCAGUGGCGAAGGCGGCUCUCUGGACUGUAACUGACACUGAGGCACGAAAGCGUGGGGAGCGAACAGGAUUAGAUACCCGGGUAGUC
rnacentral:rRNA from 1 species